rnacentral:rRNA from 1 species
AUGAGGGGGCUUCCUCCCCGCGCUCUCUCCCGGGACGCCGCCAUCCAUGCCAUCGAGCUCCGACCCCGCCGCUGCCGACAUCUCCGACCCAUGACGAGCAGCUCAGUCAAGAUGUGCGGCAGGGGAGAAAAGGAAGAUUGGGAUGCCGGCAUCAUCUCUGGACGCCGCUGUGCUUCUGCUACUGCUGCAACCCUAGCUAGCACCGACGACGUCAUGGAGCAAGUCAAGACGCAGCAUCUUCACUUCUUUCCUUGCACAUUCCUGUUAAGGAAGCAAAGAAAUCUUGGGUUUAGAAAUGGGAGAAGCACAUAA